ensembl:lncRNA
CCCUCUUUCUCUCAUUCCCUCUCUCUCUCUCUCUCUCAGGUCUCAUUCCCUCUUUCUCCCAUUCCCUCUCUCUCUCUCUCUCUCAGGUCUCAUUCCCUCUUUCUCUCAUUCUCUCUCUCUCUCUCUCAGGUCUCAUUCCCUCUCUCUCUCUCUCUCUCAGGUCUCAUUCCCUCUCUCUCUCUCUCUCUCAGGUCUCAUUCCCUCUCUCUCUCUCUCUCAGGUCUCAUUCCCUCUCUCUCAGGUCUCAUUCCCUCUCUCUCUCUCAGGACUCAUUCCCUCUUUCUCUCAUUCCCUCUCUCUCUCUCAGGUCUCAUUCCCUCUUUCUCUCAUUCCCUCUCUCUCUCUCAGGUCUCAUUCCCUCUUUCUCUCAUUCCCUCUCUCUCUCUCAGGACUCAUUCUCUCUCUCUCUCAGGUCUCAUUCUCUCUCUCUCUCAGGUCUCAUUCCGUCUCUCUCUCUCUCAGGUCUCAUUCCCUCUCUCUCUCUCUCUCUCUCUCUCUCAGGUCUCAUUCCCUCUGUCAGGUCUCAUUCCCUCUCUCUCUCUCUCUCUCUCUCUCUCUC